rnacentral:rRNA from 1 species
GGUGAACGCUGGCGGCGUGCUUAAGACAUGCAAGUCGAACGGGCUCUUCGGAGCCAGUGGCGCACGGGUGAGUAACGCGUAACUGACCUACCCCAAAGUCGCGGAUAACGAUUCGAAAGAAUCGCUAAUACGUGAUGUGCUGUCAGAUCCUGUUCUGCCAGUAAAGAUUUAUUGCUUUGGGAUGGGGUUGCGUUCCAUCAGCUAGUUGGUGGGGUAAAGGCCCACUAAGGCGACGACGGAUCGCCGGCCUGAGAGGGUGGCCGGCCACAGGGGCACUGAGACACGGGUCCCACUCCUACGGGAGGCAGCAGUUAGGAAUCGUCCACAAUGGGCGAAAGCCUGAUGGAGCGACGCCGCGUGAGGGAUGAAGGUCCUCGGAUCGUAAACCUCUGAAUCAGGGACGAAAGACGUGAAAGCGGGAUGACGGUACCUGAGUAAUAGCACCGGCUAACUCCGUG